CAGUCCCAGAGUGGCCACACAGGAGCAGAACCAGGCUCUGUCUGAGGCACCAAACUCUCCCUCCACACGGCCUCCUGGGGAGCCUCUCUCAGGGCCACUCUCUGGAGUCCUUCCUGGCUGCUGCUGGUGGUGCCUUGGGAGCAGGUCUCUCUGGAGGGUCAGGGGAGUGUAGGACUGGCUGGGAGUGGUCUGGAGUCCCAUGCCCGCGUGGAUGCCCACACUGCUCCUGGAGGUGCCGAGUCAGCGCCCCCAGGCAGGUAGUGCAGAACUGCGGGCUGUUGGUGGCGCUCUGCUGUUCAGUGUCUCAGGCUUAAAUCUUGACUCCCUACCAAAGAUUCUGACCUUGUGGGGCUUGGUGAGAUAAAUAGCCACUUUUGAAAGGAAAAGCUAAAAGACUGAAAGACGAUGCUGAGGGCCAGGCCUGGCUCCCACCCGCACUUCUCUGCAGGAAUCAGUGGCCCCAAGGCUGCAUCAGUCCAGGAAGCACCAACUAGACACCAGGAGGAGAAGCAAAGUUCAGAAAGCAAGGAAGGGAGGCAACAGAGAAGGCUGGAAAGGCAGAGCGCCUCUGGACUUCUCCAAACUCCCUGAAAGGAGAAAUGCACACGCUCGCUGCCUCCCACAUCUUCAAAAUGUCUCUUCUGCAAUUUUUUUUUUUAACUGUGGAGGUUAAAGUAGGUCUGGGAGAUUCUGCUAACCCAGACGACAGGAGCAAGAGUGUCAUGAGGUUGGCCUGGUGGCGAUGUUUAAAAUGCAAACCUUGCUUUGCUGGUGGGUCCCGCCCCAUGUGUACGCUACAAUUAGGAGGGACCUGCAGCUGCUCCACAUGCUCCCUGCAGGGCCAGCUGCCUCCUACCCGGCAACGCCCUGCCCUGGAUCCUGCGCGUUCCUGCCUCCACCUCCAUCCUUCCCACUCUCCAUCUUAAGGCACACAGGAGAAUGUGGCUGCCCAUUCCUGCAGAGUCACCAGCCAACAGUUGGCGGAGCCUCGGAUCAUGGUCUGUGCUCCAGGCCGACAGGUCAGGAUCCAGAGACUGGACUUCCAUGGGUCCCUCCUCUGAGACUGCAACGCACAGCUUUGGAGAACAGUGCUCCAUUCAGAAAGUACCCCUUCUUGUUUUCAAACGUGAUUAUUACGUGAAUGGCUUAAUCCUUCCAAGGUGAUGUUCCAAGAAGAUGCCAGAGCACCACAGCCACUGCAACAGGCCGAGGGUACUGCAUCGAUGAGCUUCUGAUGCCAGCGUGCAGGUGUCUGGGGCACUGCACUCAUCUCAGGAAGGCAGCCCACUCUGAUGGCACCCCCUCCAGUGGUCGCCAAUUUCUACAAGUAGAGAUCUUGAGAAGAAAAGAGCUGCCUGCUGCCCGCAUCAGUCUGUCAGGAGCCCCUUCCCUGCUGGACCUGCUCUCCAGCUGCUCCACAUCGCAGCCAACAGCUCAGGAUGCCUUCUGUUGGCUCACUGGCAUUUCCUGUGACCCGUGAUCCUAACUGCACAUUUUAAGCAGGUGACUUCAUGUGAAAGGGUGUAGCAAAUCCCAAAUCUAGCUGAGAGCAAGUGCUGAGUGCAGCCUGCAGAUACACCUUGCUCCUGAAAGUCACUGGGAAACUUUGCUCGCAUCAGCCCUGGGCCCUGACCAGCUGGUGGAGGGCCCGACGCUGUGCCUCACCAGCCCGGGUGGAUUUCCUAAACACAGACUGAGACACCUGGAUCCCAUCAUCCACUGACUUAUGCCCGGACAGGGGACCAUGGUGAGUGUGGAAUCUCGAGGAACAGCUCAAAGCUGGACGAUGCCCAGGCAGCCAGAGGAGCCCCUGCCCUCAGAUCUCCAAACCCAGGACCCUGAACACGAGAUUCACAAAGGUGAUUGACCAUGAUCCACUGAAGGAAAUGGGAUCGAAACACAGGUGAACGAGCAGCGUGUGGAUGGAGAGCAGAGCAGGCAGGGUGUGGGUGGCCCCAGCACAUGCCCGUCGGUCACCACAGAGGAAGGAGUGGAGAAGCCACAGACCCACCCCAUCCAGUCGCGCAGGACCUAGCAUCAGCCUGGGCAGGUCACAACCUGCCCCUGAGGCACACGGGGGUCAUGGGUUCACCCUGGGCUCUUCUGCCAGAGAUGCUUGAGCUGAACCAGCCAAGGGGAAGCAUCAGCCAGACCCAGACUGAGGGAAAGCCCACCAUGUAAGUGACCUGACGUCCUCAGCGUCGGCCUGGAAACUCAGAGGAAGAUGGAGGACGUUUCCAGGCGGGCAGACUGGUGCAAAGUGGCAGCCAAAUGCAGCCCAGGACUCUGGAGGGGACCCUUUUGUUUUGCAGCAGCGUGAUCACGUGUGUGGAAGAGACACACUAAAGCGUUCACAGCUGGUGGGCAAGGGGGAAGCUAUCCUCAGAGGAUCCAGGAACUUACUUUUCUGUACGUAGUUUACACUUUUAAAAAAAACAACUCAGUGUCCUGGGUAGGUUCCUUCUUGCCGAAGAGGAUGAGAACUCCUGGACUCCUGGCGGACUCUGCACCCGCUGGACACGAGCUGGCUUCUCGUGCUCCAUGGCUUUGGCCUAGAGUGUUCCAGAACACAUGAGCCCAGCUGCAAUAAGCCAGGCAGCCCUACAAGACCAGUGCAUUGCCAGGUGAUGAAAAGCCCUGUGCUUUGCCAGCAUCCUAAAUAAAGGACAGUGAGACCAACAGAUGAUCUCCACCAGCUGCCAGCCCAGGGGGACGGAGGGGGCACGCUGGCUCCACCAGAGAGGAUCAAGAGACUUCUGUCCACCACCAGCCAAGGAGGAGAGGUCAGAAACUCUUAGGACCAGGGACCACGGCAGUGCUCAAAAUAGCCACGGCUACCGCAUCUGGUGUGCGCUCAGUCCCCCAAGCACCCCGUCCCGUGCGGUUCUUACAACAUCCUGAAGCAUGAGUUCCAUCAGCAGCCCACGUGGGAGAGGAGGAACUUACAGCCCAGGAAGCUCACGUAACUUGACCAAGGUCACUCACUGCCUGAGAUCAUGGCGAUGUAAUCUCUCACAGAGGAGGAGCCUGAGACAAGGAAACGUCCCUGGGCUGGCCUGCAGUGCCAGCCUGCAGUGACGCGGCUCCGAGGGGCCAGUGCAUUCUCCUUCUUGUUCGCAGCUGCUCUCCACACCUGCACUCUCCUGCCACCCAAUUCUCUUUUUAAAAUCAUUUUUAAUUGACACUUAAUAACUGUACAUAUU